GUCGUAGUAGUUCAAUGGUAAAACGUCGGGUUGUGAUCCUGGAAUUAUGGGUUCGAUUCCCAUCUAUGACU
rnacentral:tRNA from 1 species